rnacentral:sRNA from 1 species
GCAAGAUGGCACUUACCAGAUGCUGGCACCUUGAUAUUUGACUUCCCAGCCUCCAGAACUGUGAGAAACAAAUUUCUUUUCUUUAUAAAUUACUCAGAUUGUGGUGUUCUGUUACAGCAACACAAAAUGGACUAUGUGAAGAAAACCAUGUUGGAAUCUUGUGCUGUCAUUGAUAAGAAAGGAUCUGAGCAUUAGGUCAAUUACCAAAAAACUGAAAAAUCAGUAACAAUGAUGACAGACUCUUCAAAUAGGAUGAUUUAAAUUUUAGGAAAUUGGAAGAAGACUCCAAGAAACUUAACAAGGCCCUCCAAUAUUUUCCCCAAAAUGAUCUUCUCUGAUUUGACUAUGCUUGUUCCUCCAUAUCUCCCUGAUCCCUAGACUUCUUCUGUCCUCUAUCCACAUUCUCUCCCAAGGUGGGUCAUCUAGUUUCAUGACUUUAAAUCCUCCCUUAAACUGUUGGUUCUCAAAUAUGCACUUGUCACUUCUAUCCUAAACUCCAGACUCAUGUAUUCAGCUACCUACUUGACACUUCUGUGUGGAUGUCUAGUAGGUAAUAAUCUUAGUAUUAUUGUGCCCUGUCAAAUUCCUGCUCUUCCCUCUAAAAUAUCUUAAUACUAUUCAGUCUUCCCCAUUUCUGUUUAUCUCAGUUCCUGCUCAGGUCAAAAACCUCUGAGUUAUCUUUGAUUCCUCUCUUUCUCUCACAUUCUAGUAGUCCAGUUUCUUUCAUAAUCAGAUCAAUUAGUAAGCCCUAUCAGCUCCAUUUUUAAAAUGUAACUAGAAUCCCAACACUUCUCACCAUUUCCACUACUACUCUGUCUCCCACCUGAUUCUUUCAGGAGCCACUCAAUUAGUUUCCUGCUUCUACCCUCACUACUCUACAGUCUAUUGUCAGCUCAGCAGCCAUGGUAAGCCUACUUUCACUUCCCUGCUCAAAACUCUAUUGGACUCUUCAUCUCAGAGUAAAGGUCUUUUCAGUGGUAUACAAUAUCCAAUCAUAUCUCUCCAGAUUGCCUACCUUCCUCCCCUCACUCCCUCCAUUCCGGCUGCACUGGCUCCUUGCUCUUCUUUGAACACAUUAGGCACAUCCUGCUCCAGGACAUUUGCACUUGAUGUUCCCUCUAACUAGAAUGCUCUUUCUCUGGAUAUUCAUAUGUUUCUCUCCUCAUCACCUUCAAAUCUUUUCCCUCAUGUCAUCUUCUCAGAGAGACAUAUUCUGACCACCCUCUUUAAACUGUAAUCUUUACCGAUAUUCUGUACUACUUAUUCACCAUCUCUGCUUUUGUAUUUUCUUCUUAGUAUUUGCUACUUUCCAGCAUGAUCUGCUUUUCCCUAAUAUUUUAUGAUUUAUCAAUCACCCAUUAGAAUAUAAGGUCCAUGAAAACACGAAAAAUAUUUUCUUCUUUUUUUUUUUUUUUUGACUGAUCCCACUGCCUAGAACAGUGCUUGGUGAAUAGUAAUUACUCAAUAAAUAUUUGUUGGAUGAAUGAGUAGCUGUCUUGAAAGUCAAAUAGGAAGGAAUAUGGUGAUGUCAUACAAUUUUAUUUAAAAAUAUAUGCAUCCCUAGUAUUCUAAGAAUUAGCACAUAGUAAAAUUAUAGCCUAAUUUUAUAAACUCUAAAAUCACUUUUAUGGUUUUUAGCUGCUGUUUUUCAAGAUAAAACUCCAAACAAGUACAGUUUUCAGUAUUUCUUAUGAUAUAUUCAUCAUUAUUUCAAAUGAAUUGGCUUUAUGGGGCCUGCACAAUCAUCUGUAGAUAAAAAUGACCUCUUAUAUUUCUGGGUGACUAGACACAAGCCUUAAUUAAUUUUUAAAAAGGAAUUCUAUGCAGAAGGGACAGUGUUUCUGCCUGUCUUCUUUCACACUUUGCACACCCAGGCCAUCUGGAGUGAAACUGAAGUCUGCCCAGAGCUGCUGGAAGCCCCAGCUGCCCUGCUGCCCACGGAGUCCUCUGAGGACGACUCCAGAGUCCCUCAACUCCUUGGAGGAGAUAAGCAGCCAACACAGUGUUGUUCAGCAGAUGCCACCGUCUGCCAUGCCCUGGAAUUUGAACCACCAUCUUCUGGAAUUUGAAUCACCAUCUUCUGGACUGACUCAAAUGCAGAGGAAGCCAGGCCUGCUGCUAACAUUUCUGAGAGGCGGCAAGAGUAUAAAUGGAGAUCCACAUAUGUAUAAAUAAAGAGUGUGAAUCAAGCUAACAAACUGUUUAAUAAAAUAUGAUCUACCC